GUUGAACGCUGGCGGCAUGCCUUACACAUGCAAGUCGAACGGUAACAUUUCUUCGGCUUCUUACGAGUGGCGAACGUUUGUGUAAUACUUCGGAACGUGCCCAUACGUGGUGGGUAACGAGGCGAAAGCUGGGCUAAUACCGCAUACGACCUAAGGAUAAAAGCAGUGGACCGCAAGGCCUGCCUCGUUUAGAGCGGCCGAUGGCAGAUUAGGUAGUUGGUGGCAUAUAAGCUUACCAAGCCGACGAUCUGUAGCUGGUCUGAGAGGACGACCAGCCACACUGGGACUGAGACACGGCCCAGACUCCUACGGGAGGCAGCAGUGGGGAAUUCUGGAGAAUGGGCGAAAGCCUGAUCCAGCAAUGCCGCGUGAAGGCUGAAGGACUUAGGGCUGUAAACUGAUUAAGUACGGAACGAAAAGGAUCUGGAUAAUACCUGGGGAACAUGACGGUACCGUAAGAAUAAGCACCGGCUAAAUACGUG
rnacentral:rRNA from 1 species